UGCCUCAGGUGGCAAGCAAGCCCUGUGUUCUGCCUGGAAGGCAGACAGCUCAGCCUGGAGCUGGGUCUGGAGCUGGCGUGCUGGAGGACCCUCCAGGGCCUGAAGCACCAUGGCCCCAAGGCCCAUGGCCAGCAGACACAGGAAGACACGGGCUUCUCACCUCCUGGUACUCACCCAAGAAAUCUACUGAGACACCACCAGGGAGAGCAAGCUCAGGAAAACUCUUUGAAGGAAGUAAUAUUUUAACCAGCGACUAAGAAGCCAGUUAUGAACUGGGUGAUUGGAAGGCAUGCCUUUGAUUACAGCACUUGGGAGGCAGAUGCAAGCCUGAGUUUGAGGCCAGCCUGGUCUACAGAGUGAGUUCCAGAACAGCCAGAGCUACACGGACAAACCCUGUCUAGGAAAAUAAAACAAAAGUCAGUUUUGGCACUGGGUGAUGGUUGAGCGGUGAAGUGCACUGGCUGCUCUUCCAGAGGGCCUGGGUUUGGUUCCUGGCACCCACAUGGCAGCUCACAACUGCCUAUGACUCCAGUUCCAGGGGGUCUGACCCUACUUCUGGCUUCCUCCGGUACCAGGCACACUUGUGGUGAAGACACAUAGAACAUAGGGAGGGCCAAUUGUGAUGGCACACACCUUCAAUCCCUGCACUUAGGAGGCAGAAGGGCAGAUUUCUGUGAGUUUGAGGUCAACCUGAUUCACAUAGUGAGUUCCAAGUCAGUUAGGGCUACAGAGUAAGACCAUCUCAAAAUAAAAUUAAAUAAACAUUUAAAAAUAAUAAAAAAGUCAGGCGUAGUAAUCAAGAGACUAACUAACCAAGAGGAAGGGUCUGAGAACAUAGUCCUUUGAGAACAGUGAACCUAUGGAAAUCUCUAUAGAACUCUAUGGUAUUCUGCGUGGAACAGUGGUGGUCUAGGCAGAGGGUGGGAAAGAAUUGUGGGUUUAGAUGGAAGUAGGGGAGAAAAAUGAGGGAAGAGCACUGAACAGGUGAUGCUGCCAAACUUUCUGUCCCAGCUUUUGCUGAGGAUGUCCUUGCCUCCCUACCUGGCUAGGCUGCAGACCAGGAAUGACUGCCAUGUGUAAAUGGGGAGAUUCACUCAAAAACCAUAAGGGGACCCUAGCCUAAGACAGAACCUCAAAGCAGUGUUCAGAAUGCCAGGGUGGGUCAUGAUGAUACCUGGUGGGCGCUUAUUCUGCUAGAUAAACCCAGGACAAACCCUUAAGAUGCUUCCCAGAGGGCUAUGGGAAUGAGAUCUACUGGGGUGGGGGGAGCAUGGCCUGGGAAAGACUCUUGGGCAUGAUGAUAUUGCAGCUGGGUCCAGAAGACAGCCAGGGACCACCUAGCAGCAGGGCAAACCUUCACUUGAAUGGUAGAAAUGGCUCAGUUAAAACUGUGGAGUGGACAAAGUCUGGCCAUGGUGAUCAGGUGGAUGAGAUUGGUUUCUGUAGUGUUGGGAGGCAGACAAGGGGCCCUUAUUGAUUAUCCAGAUGGUGGGCUGGGCCCUAGGGGAGGAAUGUGGUACCAGACUGUCUAGAUUUGUCUCUGGCUAUUUAUCUGCCCAUUGCUUUAGGGGCACGAGGACAAGGAGACUGGAUUAUCUCCAAGAAAGGUAACAGACUGCAUUUGGGGAGACAGCUUACAAGUUUAUUUGGCGUCAUUGGCUCCCCAGGCCAAGGCCCCCACCUUGGCCGGGGCACUAGAAAGGCACCCAGAGAGCCCCGGGUCUGAUAACCUCCAGGGAAGGGGGUCCAGGAACUAGGCCUUGGGGACAGGGGCCACAGUAACAGGACUUGGUCAAAAGUGCUGGUGACACCUGAGGUCGGCCCCUGUACCUCCCCUGUACCUCCCCCUCCUCCCUGCACCACUCCUGGGGGCAAUUCCCUGAGACAGGCUCUGGUCCUCCCAACCAGCUAGGUACAGUGU